GACGAACGCUGGCGGCGUGCUUAACACAUGCAAGUCGAACGGAAAGGCCCUGCUUUUGUGGGGUGCUCGAGUGGCGAACGGGUGAGUAACACGUGAGUAACCUGCCCUUGACUUUGGGAUAACUUCAGGAAACUGGGGCUAAUACCGGAUAGGAGCUCCUGCUGCAUGGUGGGGGUUGGAAAGUUUCGGCGGUUGGGGAUGGACUCGCGGCUUAUCAGCUUGUUGGUGGGGUAGUGGCUUACCAAGGCUUUGACGGGUAGCCGGCCUGAGAGGGUGACCGGCCACAUUGGGACUGAGAUACGACCCAGACUCCUACGGGAGGCAGCAGUGGGGAAUAUUGCACGAUGGGCGGAAGCCUGAUGCAGCAACGCCGCGUGCGGGAUGACGGCCUUCGGGUUGUAAACCGCUUUCGCCUGUGACGAAGCGUGAGUGACGGUAAUGGGUAAAGAAGCACCGGCUAACUACGUG
rnacentral:rRNA from 1 species